CCGAGGUUAAUACCGGAUACUCCAUAUUUGUCGCAUGGCGAAUAUGGGAAAGGCUCCGGCUGCAAAGGAUGGGCCCGCGGCCUGUUAGCUAGUUGGUGGGGUAGUGGCCUACCAAGGCAAUGAUGGGUAGCCGGGUUGAGAGACCGACCGGCCAGAUUGGGACUGAGACACGGCCCAGACUCCUACGGGAGGCAGCAGGC
rnacentral:rRNA from 1 species